UACGGGGGGGGCAAGCGUUGUUCGGAAUUACUGGGCGUAAAGGGCUCGUAGGUGGCCAACUAAGUCGGACGUGAAAUCCCUCAGCUUAACUGGGGAACUGCGUCCGAUACUGGAUGGCUUGAGUUUGGGAGAGGGAUGCGGAAUUCCAGGUGUAGCGGUGAAAUGCGUAGAUAUCUGGAGGAACACCGGUGGCGAAGGCGGGUCUCUGGGCCGAUACUGACGCUGAGGCGCGAAAGCGUGGGGAGCAAACAGG
rnacentral:rRNA from 1 species